rnacentral:rRNA from 1 species
GACGAACGCUGGCGGCGUGCCUAAUACAUGCAAGUCGAACGCAUUUUCUUUCACCGUAGCUUGCUACACCGAAAGAAAAUGAGUGGCGAACGGGUGAGUAACACGUGAGUAACCUGCCCCCUUCUUCUGGAUAACUGCCUGAAAGGGUAGCUAAUACGGGAUAUUCUGGCCUGCUCGCAUGGGUGGGUUUGGAAAGGUUUUUUUCUGGUGGGGGAUGGACUCGCGGCCUAUCAGCUUGUUGGUGGGGUAAUGGCCUACCAAGGCGACGACGGGUAGCCGGCCUGAGAGGGUGACCGGCCACACUGGGACUGAGACACGGCCCAG